rnacentral:misc_RNA from 1 species
GAUGAAGAACGUAGCGAAAUGCGAUACGUAAUGUGAAUUGCAGAAUUCAGUGAAUCAUCGAAUCUUUGAACGCAUAUUGCGCUCUUUGGUAUUCCGAAGAGCAUGCUUGUUUGAGUAUCAGUAAACACCUCAAAGCUUUUGGAUUUUUUAAUCGAAAAGCUUUGGACUUGAGCAAUCCCAACACCAAUCUUUUUGAGAUCGGUGGCGGGUUGCUUGAAAUGCAGGUGCAGCUGGACAUUCUCCUGAGCUAAAAGCAUAUUCAUUUAGUCCCGUCAAACGGAUUAUUACUUUUGCUGCAGCUAACAUAAAGGGAGUUUGACCGUAUUGGCUGACUGAUGCAGGAUUUCACAAGGGUCGGCAACGAUUCUUGUUAAACUCGAUCUCAAAUCAAGUAAGACUACCCGCUGAACUAAAGCAUAUCAAUAAGCGGAGGA